rnacentral:rRNA from 1 species
CCUACGGGAGGCAGCAGUGGGGAAUUUUGCGCAAUGGGGGAAACCCUGACGCAGCGACGCCGCGUGGAGGACGAAGGCCUUCGGGUUGUAAACUCCUUUUGUAGGGGAAGAUAGUGACGGUACCCUACGAAUAAGCCACGGCUAACUCUGUGCCAGCAGCCGCGGUAAU